rnacentral:rRNA from 1 species
GUACACUCCUACGGGAGGCAGCAGUGGGGAAUUUUGGACAAUGGGCGAAAGCCUGAUCCAGCAAUGCCGCGUGAGUGAAGAAGGCCUUCGGGUUGUAAAGCUCUUUUGUCAGGGAAGAAACGGUGAGAGCUAAUAUCUCUUGCUAAUGACGGUACCUGAAGAAUAAGCACCGGCUAACUACGUGCCAGCAGCCGCGGUAAUACGUAGGGUGCAAGCGUUAAUCGGAAUUACUGGGCGUAAAGCGUGCGCAGGCGGUUUUGUAAGUCUGAUGUGAAAUCCCCGGGCUCAACCUGGGAAUUGCAUUGGAGACUGCAAGGCUAGAAUCUGGCAGAGGGGGGUAGAAUUCCACGUGUAGCAGUGAAAUGCGUAGAUAUGUGGAGGAACACCGAUGGCGAAGGCAGCCCCCUGGGUCAAGAUUGACGCUCAUGCACGAAAGCGUGGGGAGCAAACAGGAUUAGAAACCCUUGUAGUCCC